AUUGAACGCUGGCGGCAGGCCUAACACAUGCAAGUCGAACGGUAACAGGAAACAGCUUGCUGUUUCGCUGACGAGUGGCGGACGGGUGAGUAAUGUCUGGGAACUGCCUGAUGGAGGGGGAUAACUACUGGAAACGGUAGCUAAUACCGCAUAACGUCGCAAGACCAAAGAGGGGGGCCUUCGGGCCCCUUGCCAUCGGAUGUGCCCAGAUGGGAUUAGCUAGUAGGUGGGGUAACGGCUCACCUAGGCGACGAUCCCUAGCUGGUCUGAGAGGAUGACCAGCCACACUGGAACUGAGACACGGUCCAGACUCCUACGGGAGGCAGCAGUGGGGAAUAUUGCACAAUGGGCGCAAGCCUGAUGCAGCCAUGCCGCGUGUAUGAAGAAGGCCUUCGGGUUGUAAAGUACUUUCAGCGGGGAGGAAGGGAGUAAAGUUAAUACCUUUGCUCAUUGACGUUACCCGCAGAAGAAGCACCGGCUAACUCCGUG
rnacentral:rRNA from 1 species